GAAAUGCGAUAAGUAAUGUGAAUUGCAGAAUUCCGUGAAUCAUCGAAUCUUUGAACGCACAUUGCGCCCUCUGGUAUUCCGGGGGACAUGCCUGUCCGAGCGUCAUUGCGAACCCCUCAAGCACGGCUUGUGUGAUGGGCCCUCCCGCGUCUUGGUCGUCAAGACGGGCCCGAAAUGCAGUGGCGGCUUCGCGGUUAUCCGAUCAGCCAGAGCGUAUGGGGACUUUCUCUCUGUCACACGCCCGCGGCGCGGACCGACGCCUGUCGACCUUUAUUCAUCUUUUUCUCGGUUGACCUCGGAUCAGGUAGGGAUACCCGCUGAACUUAAGC
rnacentral:misc_RNA from 1 species